rnacentral:rRNA from 1 species
AGAGUUUGAUCCUGGCUCAGAACGAACGCUGGCGGCGCGUUUUAAGCAUGCAAGUCGAACGGUAAAAAGGUGCUUGCACCUUUUGAGAGUGGCGAACGGGUGAGUAACACGUAGGUGAACUGCCUUGGGAUUGGGGAUAGCCCAUGGAAACAUGGAGUAAUACCGAAUAAGUCUGUAGAUCUUGUUCUACAGGGAAAGGAGCGAUUGCUUCGUCCUAAGAUGUGCCUGCGCCUGAUUAGCUUGUUGGUAAGGUAAGAGCUUACCAAGGCGACGAUCAGUAGCCGGCCUGAGAGGGUGACCGGCCACACUGGGACUGAGAUACGGCCCAGACUCCUACGGGAGGCAGCAGCUAAGAAUCUUCCGCAAUGGGCGAAAGCCUGACGGAGCGACGCCGCGUGGAUGAUGAAGGCCGAAAGGUUGUAAAAUCCUUUUCUUAGUGAAGAAUAACAUGGAGAGGAAAUGCUCUGUGGAUGACGUUAACUUUGGAAUAAGCCCCGGCUAAUUACGUGCCAGCAGCCGCGGUAAUACGUAUGGGGCAAGCGUUGUUCGGAUUUAUUGGGCGUAAAGGGCGCGUAGGCGGUUUAACAAGCUUGAUGUGAAAGACACCAGCUCAACUGGUGGAACGCAUUGAGAACUGUUAAACUAGAGUUCGAGAGGGGAGACUGGAAUUCCUGGUGUAGGGGUGAAAUCUGUAGAUAUCAGGAAGAACACCGGUGGCGAAGGCGAGUCUCUGGCUCUGGACUGACGCUGAGGCGCGGAAGCGUAGGGAGCGAACAGGAUUAGAUACCCUGGUAGUCUACGCUGUAAACGAUGUGCACUGGGUGUUGGUCCCACUAUUAUAUUGGUAAUGGACCUAAAUUAGUUGUUGGAAAUUGUAACUAUAGGCGUAAGGUUAUAAUAGAAGAAACUAACUUGAUUGGGCUUUUUGAAGCCUAAGAUGUAAUAGUGGGAUCAGUGCCGUAGCUAACGCGUUAAGUGCACCGCCUGGGGAGUAUGCCCGCAAGGGUGAAACUCAAAGGAAUUGACGGGGGCCCGCACAAGCGGUGGAGCAUGUGGUUUAAUUCGAUGAUACGCGAGGAACCUUACCAGGGUUUGACAUAUACAGGAAGACAUAAGAGAUUAUGUUGCUGCUUGCAGUCUGUAUACAGGUGCUGCAUGGUUGUCUUCAGCUCGUGCCGUGAGGUGUUGGGUUAAGUCCCGCAACGAGCGCAACCCCUGCUGUCAGUUACUAACAGGUAAUGCUGAGGACUCUGGCGGAACUGCCGGUGACAAACCGGAGGAAGGUGGGGACGACGUCAAAUCAUCAUGGCCCUUAUGUCCUGGGCUACACACGUGCUACAAUGGCCGGUACAGAGUGACGCGAAACGGUGACGUGGAGCAAAUCACAUAAAGCUGGUCUCAGUUCGGAUUGAAGUCUGAAACUCGACUUCAUGAAGUUGGAAUCGCUAGUAAUCGCGCAUCAGCAUGGCGCGGUGAAUACGUUCCCGGGCCUUGUACACACCGCCCGUCACACCACCCGAGUUGGGGGUACCCAAAGUUGCUAGUCUAACCUGCAAAGGAGGACGGUGCCUAAGGUAUGCUCGGUAAGGGGGGUGAAGUCGUAACAAGGUA